rnacentral:rRNA from 1 species
GACGAGGGGUCCUAGCGUUGUUCGGAAUCACUGGGCGUAAAGCGUGUGUAGGCGGCUUUUCAAGUCAGGUGUGAAAUCCCAUGGCUUAACCAUGGAACUGCAUUUGAAACUGUAAAGCUUGAGUAUUGGAGAGGAUGGUAGAAUUCCUGGUGUAGUGGUGAAAUACGUAGAUAUCAGGAGGAAUACCGGUGGCGAAGGCGGCCAUCUGGCCAAAUACUGACGCUGAGAUACGAAAGCGUGGGGAGCAAACAGG